CACUAUUAAUACAUUACACUGAAUACCCCCGAUCUCACCUGAUUUUGGAAGCUAAGCAGGGUCAAGGCCUGGCUAGUAAUUGGCUAGGAAACCACCAAGAAAUAGCAGGGAUCUCUGGAGA
rnacentral:rRNA from 1 species